rnacentral:tRNA from 1 species
GCCUGAGUGGCUCAGUCGGUUAAGCGUCCAACUUCAGCUCAGGUCAUGAUCUCAUGGUUUGUGGGUUCAAGUCCCGCAUCAGGCU